rnacentral:rRNA from 1 species
CAGCAGCCGCGGUAAUACCGAGGGUGCGAGCGUUAAUCGGAUUUACUGGGCGUAAAGCGUGCGUAGGCGGCUUCUUAAGUCGGAUGUGAAAUCCCUGAGCUUAACUUAGGAAUUGCAUUCGAUACUGGGAAGCUAGAGUAUGGGAGAGGAUGGUAGAAUUCCAGGUGUAGCGGUGAAAUGCGUAGAGAUCUGGAGGAAUACCGAUGGCGAAGGCAGCCAUCUGGCCUAAUACUGACGCUGAGGUACGAAAGCAUGGGGAGCAAACAGGAUUAGAUACCCCGGUAGUCCCUGUCUCUUAUAU